rnacentral:rRNA from 1 species
UUCCCCUAGUAACGGCGAGUGAAGAGGGAAAAGCUCAAAUUUAAAAUCUGGCGGUCUACGGCCGUCCGAGUUGUAAUCUAGAGAAGUGUUUUCCGCGCUGGACCGUGUACAAGUCCUUUGGAACAAGGCGUCAUAGAGGGUGAGAAUCCCGUCUACGACACGGACUGCCAAGCGCUUUGUGAUACACUCUCAACGAGUCGAGUUGUUUGGGAAUGCAGCUCAAAAUGGGUGGUAAAUUCCAUCUAAAGCUAAAUAUGGGCGAAAGACCGAUAGCGAACAAGUACCGUGAGGGAAAGAUGAAAAGCACUUUGGAAAGAGAGUUAAACAGUACGUGAAAUUGUUGAAAGGGAAACGCUUGAAGUCAGUCGCGUCUUCAGAAAUUCAGCUGGGCUUCUGCCCUGUGUACUUUUCUGUGGGACGGGCCAGCAUCAGUUUCGGCUGCCAGAAAAAGGUGGGAGGAAGGUGGCACCUCCGGGUGUGUUAUAGCCUCCGAUCGUAUGUGGCAGCUGGGACUGAGGACCGCAGCACGCCUUCAUGGCCGGGGUUCGCCCACGUAACGUGCUUAGGAUGCUGGCGUAAUGGCUUUAAGCGACCCGUCUUGAAACACGGACCAAGGAGUCUAACAUGCCUGCGAGUAUUUGGGUGGCAAACCCAUAUGCGCAAUGAAAGUGAACGGUUGGGACUUCUGUCAUGGAAGGCACCGACGCCCGGACCAGACCUAUUGUGACGGAUCCGAGGUAGAGCAUGUAUGUUGGGACCCGAAAGAUGGUGAACUAUGCCUGAGUAGGGUGAAGCCAGAGGAAACUCUGGUGGAGGCUCGUAGCGAUUCUGACGUGCAAAUCGAUCGUCGAACUUGGGUAUAGGGGCGAAAGACU